AAUGUAGUUUGGAGACCCCGCCCUGCUCGCCAUUCCUGUAAUGGCUGCCUCCUGGAAGGCGCUGUCACGUGGAACCUCUUAGGCUCAGCAUCCGGAGCUCCAGGAAGGGAGUCAGAUAGAAUUAUACAAAUACCGCUUUCUUUGAAACCUUCAGCCUUCAAGAUCCAGCCACCUCAAGAGCUCAACACCAUGAUCUCAGUUUCAACGCAAUCGUUCCUAGUCCUCUUUUCAUUGCUUUUGGUGCUGCCUGUUGUUGAAGCAGUAGAAGCUGGAGAUGCAAUUGCUCUCUUGUUAGGUGUAGUUCUCAGCAUUACAGGCAUUUGUGCUUGUUUAGGGGUAUAUGCACGAAAGAGAAAUGGACAAAUGUGACUUUGAAGGGCCUCCUGAAUCAAACCUUGCCCUGAAAACUUCUAUGCUAUUGAGGUUCAGAACUGAGCUUUGGUAUCUGAAAGUUCCCAAGAAACAAUACAUAAGGUAGUUUCACAUUCUUGGUUAUUUCCCUAUAAACGGGAACAAAUUGAUAUUCUAUGUAAAAUGGAAAACAAAAUGUUUCCUUCAUAACAAAUAAUGCACUGAAAAAUGCCAUCUGUAAUUUGUAUUUGCUAGUUAGAAGGAGGGCCAAAGAAGUGAGAUGGGUGAAAUUUGCAUAAGUAAUAUUUUGUAGUUUCAGAAUUCUCAGUAGGAAGAAGGAAACUCUUGCCCAGAAUCUUGGGAAAUGGCUACUCUUCAGUUAUAAUCACUGUCUCCAUCUGCUGAGGACUCUUAUCCAUUUUUUUAUUGGAUUUUUCUUUUGUUAUCUCUCAAGUUAGUAUUGUACUUAGAUAUUAAAUAUAGCUGGUCAAAAAUUAAAACAUUUCUUUAGGGGUGGAAAGUUUAGAAAAUGUAUUCAAUGUAUGUAACAUUGAAUUGGAGGAAAGAUUUAAUGUAAAAAAGAAAUACUUUAUAUUGACACUGAAAUGAAGAAGAGAUUUAAUGUUAAACAAAAAGCCUUUAUAUUAACUGAAUAAUAUCUCCAUAGUGAGAAGUACUAUAUUAAAUAUAAACCCAUUAUGUUA